GGUGGGGCUGCCCUGCAGUAAUUCUUGUGUGUAUCAGAGCACCGCGGUCAGGAAAACAGCUGAUCUCGAACUGAUAUGUUUCUGCUACAGUGACUGCUAGGUUGUUCCAAAGGUCAAUUACUGGCACUGUAAAAUGCCUGCUCCUUAUAUUGAGGCUGUGUUUUUUUAAUUCCUGUUAAGUGGCUGGCUCUUCUCAGCCAGGGAGGGGCCCUGGAGCUGUUGGUCCCACAGAGAGGAAUUAUUAUGAUCAAAUAAUACACGAUGUUAUUACGAUCAAAUUUUCUUCAUCCUUUAUGAUAGACUGAACUGCUGGAGCUUCCGGAGCCUUUUGCUUUAAGGCAUAUUUUCUGUUUUCCAGUCUUUGGCUCUCACCCAAACCUCCUCAUGUAUCAGUGUCCUCUGGGAGCCGCGGACGCUGGACUUGGACGCAGCACUCUGGCUGUGGGAACAGGAAUGUCAAAUGCAGAUUUGCCUCAACCUCUCAUCCCAUCUCUGCCAGCGCGUGAAUGCGUAAACAGGGAACGUGAACAGGCCUUUUACCCAGGAGCUCACAUUGGAAAGUCAUGGUCUGCUGAUUGUCACUGUGGCCGAAAUCCAACAUCUUGAGAAUUUCUGCUUCUGCAAUGAAAACCGAGAAACCGCUCAUGGAGCAGACUGGUUGGUUGUAGCACUGGUGGGGCCGAACCUUCCUCCCUCGGCCAGCUGUGGGUGACUCGCCGUUACCCUGCAGGACUGGCGGUGGCAGAAAAGGUGCAACACGGAGCUGCAGGUGCAGCUGCAGCAGGGCUUCACCCUCUACACAAGAAAUUCUCCUCGCUAAUCCCUAAGGUUGUAGCCUUUCACUGAACUUCAUUCCUUCUCCAUUGCUUAGUUCCUCGAGACCUUCCCGUCUGAUAGUCUGAUAACCCUCCACGCGGGUGACGGCUGCCGCAGCAGUGCCUUCAGCGGGUGUUGGCGCACACUCGCCCAGAGCGGCAAGGGGAGAGGAAGGGUGUCCGGCCCUCGAGGAGCACGGAGAGAGGCACAACAGGGCAGCGGGACGGAGGAGGGCAGAUGCUCCCACUCGUCCGGUUGGCCUCCACGUUCAGAGGAGGCGGAUAAGCAAUGGGGGAAGGAGCCUAAAUUCCCAGAAGUGGGAGCCCAGCGUCUGAGACAGGCUGUGGGCAGCCCCAGCAGCCAGGGCGGUUUGCGGGGAAAGGCUGACAGGAAUCCCCUGUUUUGGGGGAUUUGCUCCAUUAGGGCAAGGACGAGAAAGCGGUGGCACCUAUGGCAGCGAUGGAGAGGACCCAAAGAGACAGCACAGGCAGUGACGCCAGCUGUCCUUGUUAGAGCACGUGAAGGAGCAGGGGGUUUCGGGGAAGGAGGACUUGCGAAGCGGCGGUGCUGGAGCUCCUGUGGCAGCCCGUGGCCCUGACACUGUGAUGGGAAGGGGCAGAAAACUGAGGAACAGCAGCCAUGCAUUGAGCGUGUGAAUGAGGAAAGGCAGACAUCUAGACAAAGGUAACCCAUCAAAGCAAGUGACCAUGAGAAUUAAAAAUAACUAGUAGAGGAGAAAUAACACGGAGAAAUAUAUCUGGUGUAUCGGAGAACUAAGAGGAGAAACAGAAGAUGAGGUUGCAAGGGAAAACUGAAGAGCAAAUGCCCCACAGGAAUAAUGGUGGAGAGAGCAGAUACAACAGGGAAAUAGAGUCCAAGGCUGUGAGAGAGAAGAGGAUGAAACUGCAUUCAGAGCAGAAGAAAAGUGAGCAACCUGGAAAUCAGUGGCAGUAGCAGGAAGAGGCUUGGCUGUGUAAUUUGGGGCUCACUGUCAGGGCAGCCUGCCAAGCCCGCCAACAAGGGUGGAUCUAGGGGAGAAGGAAUGCUUGUAGAAAGCUCAGAGAUUUGGGACAUGAGGUUGAAAAGUAUCUGCUAGGGAGUGGGAAGGAAUCCACCGGUGAUCUUGCAUUUCAGGACAAAUGACAUAGCAAGAUUUUCACUGAAAUGAAACAAGAAUCGAUUAAAAUAGACCAAUGGUUCAAAAUAAAAGGAGGACAAGAAAGAAAAAGAAGUGGUGCCUGUAUUUAAGAAGGGAGAAAAAGUGACCAGACAGCUGCAUGCUUGUCAGUCUGCUGUUAAUAGUAUUCAAUUAAAGAGUAACUCA